GGAGAGAUGACCGAGCGGCCGAAGGUGUACGAUUGGAAGUCGUAUGUACCCGGAAGGGUACCGAGGGUUCAAAUCCCUCUCUCUCCG
rnacentral:tRNA from 1 species